rnacentral:rRNA from 1 species
GUGGGGAAUAUUGGACAAUGGGCGCAAGCCUGAUCCAGCCAUGCCGCGUGUGUGAAGAAGGCCUUUUGGUUGUAAAGCACUUUAAGCGAGGAGGAGGCUACUUGGAUUAAUACUCUAGGAUAGUGGACGUUACUCGCAGAAUAAGCACCGGCUAACUCUGUGCCAGCAGCCGCGGUAAUACAGAGGGUGCGAGCGUUAAUCGGAUUUACUGGGCGUAAAGCGUGCGUAGGCGGCUUCUUAAGUCGGAUGUGAAAUCCCUGAGCUUAACUUAGGAAUUGCAUUCGAUACUGGGAAGCUAGAGUAUGGGAGAGGAUGGUAGAAUUCCAGGUGUAGUGGUGAAAUGCGUAGAGAUCUGGAGGAAUACCGAUGGCGAAGGCAGCCAUCUGGCCUAAUACUGACGCUGAGGUACGAAAGCAUGGGGAGCAAACAGGAUUAGAUACCCUUGUAGUCC